AUUGAACGCUGGCGGCAUGCCUUACACAUGCAAGUCGAACGGUAACAGGUUAAGCUGACGAGUGGCGAACGGGUGAGUAAUGUAUCGGAAAGUGCCCAAUAGUGGGGGAUAGCCAGGCGAAAGCCGGAUUAAUACCGAAUGAGACCUGAGGGUGAAAGCGGGGGAUCGCAAGACCUCGCGCUGUUGGAGCGUCCGAUAUCAGAUUAGGUAGUUGGUGGGGCAAAGGCCUACCAAGACUGCGAUCUGUAGCUGGUCGCAGAGGAUGACCAGCCCCACUGGGACUGGGCCACGGCCCAGACUCCGACGCGAGGCAGCAGUGGGGAAUUUUGGACAAUGGGCGCAAGCCUGAUCCAGCAAUGCCGCGUGCGGGAAGAAGGCCUUCGGGUUGUAAACCGCUUUUGUCAGGGAAGAAAUCUUCUGGGUUAAUACCUCGGGAGGAUGACGGUACCUGAAGAAUAAGCACCGGCUAACUACGUGCCAGCCGCCGCCGUAA
rnacentral:rRNA from 1 species